UCACUGCACUUUACUUCCUUUCCUCCACGUCGAGCCUUGUUCCAUCUCUCUCUAUCCUCAAUCUUGAACUUCUUUCUUCCAAAGAAAAAGAAAAAAAGGGUCUUCUUGCACAGCUUCUUCCUUUAGCUCCAGGUCGGCCCAACCGGCUGGCCUGUCUUAAUUUCGUGGUCAAUGAUUCUUCCAAUAAUAAGAUAGCGUCAGUAAUUGAAGCCGUAUGUUCCUUCCUUCCUCUUUUCUUAUUACUUAUUAGCCAAAAUAAGAUGUCUCUACAUCACAGUCACGGUUGAAGACAAUGAUAACUUGGAGAAGGUGAAACAAGAGUCUGAAAUUUGAUGCUUUUCUUAUUUUGGCAGCUGGGCAAAAGAAGGUGCUGUACAACGGCAUACCUAUGCAGAGUGUUUUCUGUUGUAACUUAAUUUCAAUAUCAUCCAAUCGUGGCUGUUCCCUUUUCUGUUUGUCUCGUCAAAUAAGUAUUAAAUGCAGUAAAAGAUCGAACAAUUUUAAUUUCUCAACGGAUUUGGUCAACAGGAAAGGUAUUAAAGAAGUGGGUCCAGAAUGUAAUUGCAAAAUUACUUUGAUUAGGAGUUCUGAUGGUCAUAGAGUUGGAGAGGAGAUUUCCUGUGAGUUAUACAACCAGUUAAUUAUUGAAUGUUGUAAAGGAAGUGACCUUGAUGGGGCCAUGCCUCUCCUGGCUCAGAUGGAGGCUAAGGGGUAUCAACCCAAUUCACUUUCUUUUAGCUAUCUGAUUGAAGCCCUUGGGAGUGUAGGAAGGACCUUAGAGGCUGAAAUGUUAUUCCAGGAAAUGAUCUAUUCUGGCUUUAAACCGAGACUGAAUGUAUACAAUGUUUUGAUUAAAGGGUUUUUGAAGAAAGGUCUGUUAGGACUUGCCCUAGGGCUUUUACAGGAGAUGGAGGAUUUGGGCUUGAGGCCAAACCAAGAAACUUACGAGAACUUCUUAGGUUACUAUGUUAAUGCUGGACGGUUGGAAGAUACUUGGGCAACACUCAAUGAGAUGAAGAAAAAUGGAUUUCAACUAAGUUCAUUUGUCUAUAGCAAGGUUGUUGGCCUUUAUCGGGACAAUGGAAUGUGGAAAAAAGCCAUAGGCAUUGUAGAAGAAAUCCGAGAUAGGGGUGUUUCUUUGGACAGGCAUAUUUAUAACAGUAUUAUUGAUACAUUUGGGAAAUAUGGUGAAUUAGACGAAGCUCUAGAAUUGUUUGAGAAAAUGCAAAACGAAGGUGUAAGGCCUGAUAUAGUGACAUGGAAUUCAUUGAUUAAGUGGCACUGCAAAGCAGGUGACCUCACAAAAGCCCUCCGUUUGUUUAUGCAUAUGCAAGAGCAAGGAUUAUAUCCUGAUCCAAAAAUCUUCAUUACCAUUAUUAGCUGCUUAGGGGAGCAGGGAAAAUGGGAUGCAAUGAAGAACAUUUUUGAAAGCAUGAGAUGCAGGGGAAGUAAAUACGGGGCUGUUUAUGCUGUUUUGGUUGACAUUUAUGGGCAGUACGGGAAAUUCCAGAAUGCUGAGGAGUGUAUACAGGCACUGAAAUCAGAAGGACUUCUAGUUUCACCAAGCAUUUUUUGCGUGUUGGCAAAUGCUUAUGCUCAGCAAGGCUUAUGUGAACAGGCAGUUAAGGUGCUGCAGAUCAUGGAGGCAGAGGGAAUAGAACCAAAUAUUGUCAUGCUCAAUAUGUUAAUCAAUGCAUUUGGUAGUGCUGGGAGAUAUAUGGAAGCAUUGUCUGUAUAUCAUCAUAUAAAAGAAAGUGGUGUUAGUCCUGAUGUGGUUACAUACACUACACUUAUGAAGGCACUUAUGAGGGCGAAGAAGUUCAAUGAGGUUCCAAAAAUUUACAAGGAGAUGGAAUAUGACGGAUGUACUCCAGACAGAAAAGCUAGACAGGUGUUACAAAACGCAUUAAUGGUGCUUGAAGGGAGACCCUCUAGUGACAGAUAGAACCUCUUGGGCUGACAUUGAUGAGCUGUUAAAUGAAUGGUCCAAAUGGAAACAUGGCAUCCAUUGACCAUUUCAUGAUCACUCUCGAGUCUGGAGUUUGAACCAGCAUUGCUCAAGCAAAAAAACUUAAUUGAAUGCAGUUAGCUCAGGAUGCAAAGGAGGCUUUUUGAUCUUCUGUUUCCACUUUCACGUGUAGGUGAGGAGGCUGCCUGUUUGGUUACAAAGAUGAAAUUUGUGCAAUAUCUAUUACCUUUCUGUAAUUAAUUUUUAAUAUCAAUCUUGAGCUUUUAGAAGUUGGUGUUUGAAGAUAUUUUUAUCUGUAAAGUUUUUAUUUUUAUUAUAUGUGGGUCCCAAAUAUUGUACUAAAUGUGACAUAAGUUGUUUUAAAAAUUAUGAAUGUAGA